UCGCAUUCUUCUGUCUUUCUUGAUGUCAUUACAUUCAUCAUAGAUGUUGGCUGGUCAUUGUAACUUGGUGUACCGUGAAGUGGUCCUGACAGUAAAUAACCUAUUUUUGAUUUUACGGCAGUAGGUCCCUCACCUCUAAUGAUAUGGUUUUCUAUAAUUGACCAAUAGUAGUCGGCUCCUACGAGUACUGAGACUUGGAAAUUGUCGUUCGCGAU
rnacentral:lncRNA from 1 species